rnacentral:rRNA from 1 species
CUCAGGAUGAACGCUAGCUACAGGCUUAACACAUGCAAGUCGAGGGGCAGCAUGGUCUUAGCUUGCUAAGGCCGAUGGCGACCGGCGCACGGGUGAGUAACGCGUAUCCAACCUGCCUUACACUCUUGGACAGCCUUCUGAAAGGGAGAUUAAUACAAGAUGUUAUCAUGAGUAAGCAUUUUCGCAUGAUUAAAGGUUUACCGGUGUAAGAUGGGGAUGCGUUCCAUUAGAUAGUAGGCGGGGUAACGGCCCACCUAGUCUUCGAUGGAUAGGGGUUCUGAGAGGAAGGUCCCCCACAUUGGAACUGAGACACGGUCCAAACUCCUACGGGAGGCAGCAGUGAGGAAUAUUGGUCAAUGGACGAGAGUCUGAACCAGCCAAGUAGCGUGAAGGAUGAAGGUUCUAUGGAUUGUAAACUUCUUUUAUACGGGAAUAAACGGAUCCACGUGUGGAUUUUUGCAUGUACCGUAUGAAUAAGGAUCGGCUAACUCCGUGCCAGCAGCCGCGGUAAUACGGAGGAUCCGAGCGUUAUCCGGAUUUAUUGGGUUUAAAGGGAGCGUAGAUGGGUUGUUAAGUCAGUUGUGAAAGUUUGCGGCUCAACCGUAAAAUUGCAAUUGAUACUGGCAGUCUUGAGUACAGUUGAGGUAGGCGGAAUUCGUGGUGUAGCGGUGAAAUGCUUAGAUAUCACGAAGAACUCCGAUUGCGAAGGCAGCUUACUAACCUGUAACUGACAUUGAUGCUCGAAAGUGUGGGUAUCAAACAGGAUUAGAUACCCUGGUAGUCCACACGGUAAACGAUGAAUACUCGCUGUUUGCGAUAUACUGCAAGCGGCCAAGCGAAAGCGUUAAGUAUUCCACCUGGGGAGUACGCCGGCAACGGUGAAACUCAAAGGAAUUGACGGGGGCCCGCACAAGCGGAGGAACAUGUGGUUUAAUUCGAUGAUACGCGAGGAACCUUACCCGGGCUUAAAUUGCAGAUGAAUUACGGUGAAAGCCGUAAGCCGCAAGGCAUCUGUGAAGGUGCUGCAUGGUUGUCGUCAGCUCGUGCCGUGAGGUGUCGGCUUAAGUGCCAUAACGAGCGCAACCCUUGUUGUCAGUUACUAACAGGUUCCGCUGAGGACUCUGACAAGACUGCCAUCGUAAGAUGUGAGGAAGGUGGGGAUGACGUCAAAUCAGCACGGCCCUUACGUCCGGGGCUACACACGUGUUACAAUGGGGGGUACAGAGGGCCGCUACCACGCGAGUGGAUGCCAAUCCCCAAAACCUCUCUCAGUUCGGACUGGAGUCUGCAACCCGACUCCACGAAGCUGGAUUCGCUAGUAAUCGCGCAUCAGCCACGGCGCGGUGAAUACGUUCCCGGGCCUUGUACACACCGCCCGUCAAGCCAUGGGAGCCGGGGGUACCUGAAGUGCGUAACCGCGAGGAGCGCCCUAGGGUAAAACUGGUGACUGGGGCUAAGUCGUA